GUCAGUGUGGUGUAGAGGUUUGAAUGUUGGACUAUGACUCUGAGGACCAGGGUUCGAUUUCCCACUUGGCCA